UUUGUUUUCAAUUGGAAUGGACUAUUAUGUGCUAUUAUAGUGUUUAUAUAUGUGUAUUUAUAUGGUGAUUGAAGAUCAAAUAAUGUGGCGAAAAUGACAAAACUGGUGCUUCUUGAUUAAGCAAUCUAAGAUUUAUUUAGAUCUGUUUUCAUAUAUACUAAAAUUAGUUAUUUGGAUGGUAUGGAAAAGGGUAACCGAAGUUUUUGCACAUAUAAGUAGUUCUAUGCAUAUAUUGAUAUUUUGGUUUCUACAGAUGGUGAAUCGGUCAGGGCUUACGGUGGAUAGUUCUUUUCCUGAUUCGCAGCCAACUAUUGGAAACAAACGGUCCGUUAGAGAUAGGCUGGGAAGUAAUGUGGAUUUAUCUCUUCAAGUCAACAAGCGAAUGCGGGGAGAUGGGAGUUCUGCUAAUGCUGUGGACAGUAACAAACUCUUCUUGAGUCCUUAAAAGUUUUAUAUAAUUUAUAUAUCAUUUGUUAAUUUUUGGUGUCUUAUAUGAAAAAAGACAUUUAUCUAAAUAGAGAUGACCUCGGAUUCAAAAUCAUGCAAAAGAAAAUUAUUAAGAAAUAUGGAAGGGAGUCAAAUGCCAGAUUCAAGGAUCUAGGCCAACGAUCAGAGACUUUAGAAAGGUAUGUUAAACCUACUUCUGCUCUCAAUCACAUCGGAAUUUCUCAUGGAGAUGUUGUAAGUCUCAUUUUAUCUUCUGGACUUUCUUUCAAUUUUGCAAUUUAUUGAUAUUGUUUUCGCUUCGCCUUGUAUUGUUGUCUAUAAUUUCAAGUUAGAUAAUUGAUGUUUAGCCGAACCAAACUUACAAUUUCAAGUUAGCUUAUCUUCAUGUUUAGCCGAAUUCUUCUCAACCCCAAAGGAACCAGAAGAUAAGAAGGGGGAAAGACAAUAAGAAUAUUACCUGGCUCAUAGGACUUGGCAAGCAAAAACCAGUGCUGGAAUUUCAAGUUGGGAUACUCAAAUGACUUUGGAGUUACGUUAAAUUUUCCCAUGUAAAUGUUCCAUAGUUCAGAGGUAGAUAAAACUUUUUGAGUAGGUUAAUGAUAGAAUUAUUUAGACGAACUCUACAUUUUUGGCAUAUUGUAUUGAACCGUAUUUAUUGUUUUUGUUUAUCAGACGUAUAUAAAAUCUAAUUAUAUAUAAU